GUGACCUCAAAUCAGGUAGGACUACCCGCUGAACUUAAGCAUAUUAAUAAGCGGAGGAAAAGAAACUAACAAGGAUUCCCCUAGUAACUGCGAGUGAAGCGGGAAAAGCUCAAAUUUAAAAUCUGUCAGUCUUUGGCUGUCCGAGUUGUAAUCUAGAGAAGUGUUAUCUGCGUUGGACCGUGUACAAGUCUCCUGGGAUGGAGCGUCAUAGAGGGUGAGAAUCCCGUCUUUGACACGGACUACCC
rnacentral:rRNA from 1 species